CUCGCCUGCACGAAGCCGGAGUUGCUAGUAAUCGCGGAUCAGAAUGCCGCGGUGAAUGCGUUCCCGGGUCUUGUACACACCGCCCGUCACACCAUGGAAGUUGGGGGUGCCCAAAGCCGGCAGGGAAAUAUGCUGUCUAAGGCAAAACCAAUGACUGGGGUGAAGUCGUAACAAGGUACC
rnacentral:rRNA from 1 species